rnacentral:rRNA from 1 species
UAAGGCCUACGGGGGGCAGCAGUGGGGAAUAUUGCACAAUGGGGGAAACCCUGAUGCAGCGACGCCGCGUGAAGGAAGAAGUAUUUCGGUAUGUAAACUUCUAUCAGCAGGGAAGAAAGUGACGGUACCUGACUAAGAAGCCCCGGCUAACUACGUGCCAGCAGCCGCGGUAAUACGUAGGGGGCAAGCGUUAUCCGGAUUUACUGGGUGUAAAUGUAGCGUAGACGGCAGUGCAAGUCUGGAGUGAAAGGC